rnacentral:rRNA from 1 species
AUUGAACGCUGGCGGCAUGCCUUACACAUGCAAGUCGAACGGCAGCACGUGUGCUUGCACCUGGUGGCGAGUGGCGAACGGGUGAGUAAUAUAUCGGAACGUACCUUAUUGUGGGGGAUAACGCAGCGAAAGCUGUGCUAAUACCGCAUAAUCCCUAAGGGGGAAAGCGGGGGACCGUAAGGCCUCGCGCAAUUAGAGCGGCCGAUACCUGAUUAGCUAGUUGGUGAGGUAAAGGCUCACCAAGGCAACGAUCAGUAGCUGGUCUGAGAGGACGAUCAGCCACGCUGGGACUGAGACACGGCCCAGACUCCUACGGGAGGCAGCAGUGGGGAAUUUUGGACAAUGGGGGUAACCCUGAUCCAGCAAUGCCGCGUGAGUGAAGAAGGCCUUCGGGUUGUAAAGCUCUUUUGUCAGGGAAGAAACAGCAGCUCUAACACAGUUUGCGAAUGACGGUACCUGAAGAAUAAGCACCGGCUAACUACGUGCCAGCCGCCGCGGUAA